UGGGGAAUCUUGGACAAUGGGGGCAACCCUGAUCCAGCCAUGCCGCGUGGGUGAAGAAGGCCUUAGGGUUGUAAAGCCCUUUCAGUCGUGACGAUGAUGACGGUAGCGGGAGAAGAAGCCCCGGCUAACUCCGUGCCAGCAGCCGCGGUAAUACGGAGGGGGCAAGCGUUGUUCGGAUUUACUGGGCGUAAAGGGCGCGUAGGCGGGCGAUCAAGUCAGAGGUGAAAGGCCUGGGCUCAACCUAGGAACUGCCUUUGAAACUGAUCAUCUUGAGUCCGGGAGAGGAUGGCGGAAUUCCCAGUGUAGAGGUGAAAUUCGUAGAUAUUGGGAAGAACACCGGUGGCGAAGGCGGCCAUCUGGACCGGCACUGACGCUGAGGCGCGAAAGCGUGGGGAGCAAACAGGAUUAGAUACCCCGGUAGUCC
rnacentral:rRNA from 1 species